rnacentral:rRNA from 1 species
AGAGUUUGAUCCUGGCUCAGAACGAACGCUGGCGGCGUGGAUAAGACAUGCAAGUCGAGCGGGAUUUCUUUCUGUAGCAAUACAGAGAGAAGUCCAGCGGCGAACGGGUGCGUAACACGUGGGCAAUCUGUCUUAAAGUGGGGGAUAGCUCGGCGAAAGCCGAAUUAAUACCGCAUGUGAUUAGGGGCGACAUCGCUCCGAAAUCAAAGGUGGCGCAAGCUACCGCUUUUUGAGGGGCCCGCGGCCUAUCAGCUUGUUGGUGAGGUAACGGCUCACCAAGGCUAUGACGGGUAGCUGGUCUGAGAGGACGACCAGUCACACUGGGACUGAGACACGGCCCAGACACCUACGGGUGGCAGCAGUCGAGAAUUUUUGACAAUGGGGGAAACCCUGAUCGAGCGACGCCGCGUGGAGGAUGAAGGUCUUCGGGUUGUAAACUCCUGUCAUUUGGGAACAAGGCGCACGUAUUAACUGUGCGUGCGUUGAUAGUACCAGAAGAGGAAGAGACGGCUAACUCUGUGCCAGCAGCCGCGGUAAUACAGAGGUCUCAAGCGUUGUUCGGAUUCAUUGGGCGUAAAGGGUGUGUAGGUGGCGCGCUAAGUCGGGUGUGAAAUUUCGGAGCUUAACUCCGAAACUGCAUUCGAUACUGGCGUGCUUGAGGACUGGAGAGGAGACUGGAAUUUACGGUGUAGCAGUGAAAUGCGUAGAUAUCGUAAGGAAGACCAGUGGCGAAGGCGGGUCUCUGGACAGUUCCUGACACUGAGACACGAAGGCCAGGGGAGCAAACGGGAUUAGAUACCCCAGUAGUCC